rnacentral:rRNA from 1 species
UACGUAGGGCGCGAGCGUUGUCCGGAUUUAUUGGGCGUAAAGAGCUCGUAGGCGGCUUGUCGCGUCGUCCGUGAAAACUUGUGGCUUAACCACAGGCUGGCGGUCGAUACGGGCAGGCUGGAGUUCGGUAGGGGAGACUGGAAUUCCUGGUGUAGCGGUGAAAUGCGCAGAUAUCAGGAGGAACACCGGUGGCGAAGGCGGGUCUCUGGGCAGUAACUGACGCUGAGAAGCGAAAGCGUGGGGAGCGAACAGG